AUUGAACGCUGGCGGCAGGCCUAACACAUGCAAGUCGAACGAGUGGUGGACGGGUGAGUAAUGUCUGGGAAACUGCCUGAUGGAGGGGGAUAACUACUGGAAACGGUAGCUAAUACCGCAUACCAUCAGAUGUGCCCAGAUGGGAUUAGCUUGUUGGGGGGGUAACGGCUCACCAAGGCGACGAUCCCUGUCUGGUCUGAGAGGAUGACGAGCCACACUGGAACUGAGAAACGGUCGAGACGCCUACGGGAGGCAGCAGGGGAAAAUAUUGCACUAUGGGCGCAAGCCUGAUGCAGCCAUGCCGCGAGUAUGAAGAAGGCCUUCGGGUUGUAAAGUACUUUCAGCGGGGAGGCGUUACCCGCAGAAGAAGCACCGGCUAACGCCGUGCCAGCAGCCGCGGUAAUUC
rnacentral:rRNA from 1 species